rnacentral:lncRNA from 1 species
ACGGAGUGCCCUGGCACCGGUGCCCGCGGCUGUGACGGAAAAAGGGUGGGAAGAACAGGGAAGAGGAAGCAGAAACAGGCACUCCUUGAUGAAAUAAGUAAGAAAGCUUGUCAAGAGCCAUCACUCUUGCUCAUGGGACAAGAGAAGGCACUGACCUGUGCCCACCAGCACCCCAUCACUGAGCCAACACCACCUUCAGGAAGACAGUCUCCAGCAGGGCUUCCCCCAAUUCCCCUAGCUGCUUUGCCUCUGCUACUCCGGUAAGCACCUGCAGGGAGGCAGGCACCCCAGCACCCACUAGCAUUCUGCAACAGCUGUUGCACCUUGGCUCCCCCAGUACAGUGGAUUCCAAACCUCAAGGAGUCAAAGAACAGAUGGGGCCCAAUACAAAUUCCCCAGAAUUACAACAUGCCGUCCAGGAGUUGAGAGCUGAGUGUUGACCUUCUAAAAUCUCCCAGAAACAAAGCCAGGUGGCUGAAUCCACCUUAUAUUAUAGUCAAACCCUCAAGGUCAUCAAAUCAUCAAAUAGGAUAAAAGAAAAAAAAAUCCAAAGGUCAGCAACAUCCAAGAUUGAAGACAGAUAAGCUCACAAAGAUGAGAAAGAGUCAGCACAGGAAAACUGAAAACUCGAAAAACCAGAGUGCCCUCUUUCCUACGAACAGCCACAUCACCUCUCCAGCAAAGGUUCUGAACUGAGCUGAGAUGGCCAAAAUGACAGAAAUAGAAUUCAGAAUAUGGAUAAGAAUGAAGAUCAUUGAGCUACAGGAGUAUGUUGAAACCCAAUGCAAGGAAGUGAAAAAUCAUGAUAAAACAAUGCCAGAGCUGACAGACAAUAAUGGACAGUAUAGAAAAGACUGUAACUGGCCUGAUAGAGUCAAAAAAUAUAAUACAAGAAUUUCAUAAUGCAAUCACAACUAUUAAUAGCAGAAUAUAACAAGUGGAUGAAUGAAUCAGAGCUUAAAGAAUGGCUUUCUGAAAUAAGACAAUCAGACAAGAAUAGAGAAAAAAGAAAAAAAGGAAAGAACAAAA